CUUGAAUAUUAAAAACU
rnacentral:sRNA from 1 species